AGCGUACACGGUGGAUGCCCUGGCAGUCAGAGGCGAUGAAGGACGUGCUAAUCUGCGAUAAGCGUCGGUAAGGUGAUAUGAACCGUUAUAACCGGCGAUUUCCGAAUGGGGAAACCCAGUGUGAUUCGUCACACUAUCAUUAACUGAAUCCAUAGGUUAAUGAGGCGAACCGGGGGAACUGAAACAUCUAAGUACCCCGAGGAAAAGAAAUCAACCGAGAUUCCCCCAGUAGCGGCGAGCGAACGGGGAGCAGCCCAGAGCCUGAAUCAGUGUGUGUGUUAGUGGAAGCGUCUGGAAAGGCGCGCGAUACAGGGUGACAGCCCCGUACACAAAAAUGCACAUGCUGUGAGCUCGAUGAGUAGGGCGGGACACGUGGUAUCCUGUCUGAAUAUGGGGGGACCAUCCUCCAAGGCUAAAUACUCCUGACUGACCGAUAGUGAACCAGUACCGUGAGGGAAAGGCGAAAAGAACCCCGGCGAGGGGAGUGAAAAAGAACCUGAAACCGUGUACGUACAAGCAGUGGGAGCACGCUUAGGCGUGUGACUGCGUACCUUUUGUAUAAUGGGUCAGCGACUUAUAUUCUGUAGCAAGGUUAACCGAAUAGGGGAGCCGAAGGGAAACCGAGUCUUAACUGGGCGUUAAGUUGCAGGGUAUAGACCCGAAACCCGGUGAUCUAGCCAUGGGCAGGUUGAAGGUUGGGUAACACUAACUGGAGGACCGAACCGACUAAUGUUGAAAAAUUAGCGGAUGACUUGUGGCUGGGGGUGAAAGGCCAAUCAAACCGGGAGAUAGCUGGUUCUCCCCGAAAGCUAUUUAGGUAGCGCCUCGUGAAUUCAUCUCCGGGGGUAGAGCACUGUUUCGGCAAGGGGGUCAUCCCGACUUACCAACCCGAUGCAAACUGCGAAUACCGGAGAAUGUUAUCACGGGAGACACACGGCGGGUGCUAACGUCCGUCGUGAAGAGGGAAACAACCCAGACCGCCAGCUAAGGUCCCAAAGUCAUGGUUAAGUGGGAAACGAUGUGGGAAGGCCCAGACAGCCAGGAUGUUGGCUUAGAAGCAGCCAUCAUUUAAAGAAAGCGUAAUAGCUCACUGGUCGAGUCGGCCUGCGCGGAAGAUGUAACGGGGCUAAACCAUGCACCGAAGCUGCGGCAGCGACACUAUGUGUUGUUGGGUAGGGGAGCGUUCUGUAAGCCUGUGAAGGUGUACUGUGAGGUAUGCUGGAGGUAUCAGAAGUGCGAAUGCUGACAUAAGUAACGAUAAAGCGGGUGAAAAGCCCGCUCGCCGGAAGACCAAGGGUUCCUGUCCAACGUUAAUCGGGGCAGGGUGAGUCGACCCCUAAGGCGAGGCCGAAAGGCGUAGUCGAUGGGAAACAGGUUAAUAUUCCUGUACUUGGUGUUACUGCGAAGGGGGGACGGAGAAGGCUAUGUUGGCCGGGCGACGGUUGUCCCGGUUUAAGCGUGUAGGCUGGUUUUCCAGGCAAAUCCGGAAAAUCAAGGCUGAGGCGUGAUGACGAGGCACUACGGUGCUGAAGCAACAAAUGCCCUGCUUCCAGGAAAAGCCUCUAAGCAUCAGGUAACAUCAAAUCGUACCCCAAACCGACACAGGUGGUCAGGUAGAGAAUACCAAGGCGCUUGAGAGAACUCGGGUGAAGGAACUAGGCAAAAUGGUGCCGUAACUUCGGGAGAAGGCACGCUGAUAUGUAGGUGAAGUCCCUCGCGGAUGGAGCUGAAAUCAGUCGAAGAUACCAGCUGGCUGCAACUGUUUAUUAAAAACACAGCACUGUGCAAACACGAAAGUGGACGUAUACGGUGUGACGCCUGCCCGGUGCCGGAAGGUUAAUUGAUGGGGUCAGCGCAAGCGAAGCUCUUGAUCGAAGCCCCGGUAAACGGCGGCCGUAACUAUAACGGUCCUAAGGUAGCGAAAUUCCUUGUCGGGUAAGUUCCGACCUGCACGAAUGGCGUAAUGAUGGCCAGGCUGUCUCCACCCGAGACUCAGUGAAAUUGAACUCGCUGUGAAGAUGCAGUGUACCCGCGGCAAGACGGAAAGACCCCGUGAACCUUUACUAUAGCUUGACACUGAACAUUGAGCCUUGAUGUGUAGGAUAGGUGGGAGGCUUGGAAGUGUGGACGCCAGUCUGCAUGGAGCCGACCUUGAAAUACCACCCUUUAAUGUUUGAUGUUCUAACGUGGACCCGUGAUCCGGGUUGCGGACAGUGUCUGGUGGGUAGUUUGACUGGGGCGGUCUCCUCCUAAAGAGUAACGGAGGAGCACGAAGGUUGGCUAAUCCUGGUCGGACAUCAGGAGGUUAGUGCAAUGGCAUAAGCCAGCUUGACUGCGAGCGUGACGGCGCGAGCAGGUGCGAAAGCAGGUCAUAGUGAUCCGGUGGUUCUGAAUGGAAGGGCCAUCGCUCAACGGAUAAAAGGUACUCCGGGGAUAACAGGCUGAUACCGCCCAAGAGUUCAUAUCGACGGCGGUGUUUGGCACCUCGAUGUCGGCUCAUCACAUCCUGGGGCUGAAGUAGGUCCCAAGGGUAUGGCUGUUCGCCAUUUAAAGUGGUACGCGAGCUGGGUUUAGAACGUCGUGAGACAGUUCGGUCCCUAUCUGCCGUGGGCGCUGGAGAACUGAGGGGGGCUGCUCCUAGUACGAGAGGACCGGAGUGGACGCAUCACUGGUGUUCGGGUUGUCAUGCCAAUGGCACUGCCCGGUAGCUAAAUGCGGAAGAGAUAAGUGCUGAAAGCAUCUAAGCACGAAACUUGCCCCGAGAUGAGUUCUCCCUGACUCCUUGA
rnacentral:rRNA from 1 species